UUCUAUUAGGUGUUUCUGCACGAGAAAAUUUGAAUUUCUAAGAGAAAAAUUGUUUAUUUCAAUAGAAA
rnacentral:tRNA from 1 species